rnacentral:rRNA from 1 species
UACGUAGGGUGCAAGCGUUGUCCGGAAUUAUUGGGCGUAAAGAGCUCGUAGGCGGUCUGUCGCGUCUGCUGUGAAAAUCCAGGGCUUAACCCUGGACCUGCAGUGGGUACGGGCAGACUAGAGUGCGGUAGGGGAGAUCGGAAUUCCUGGUGUAGCGGUGAAAUGCGCAGAUAUCAGGAGGAACACCGGUGGCGAAGGCGGAUCUCUGGGCCGUAACUGACGCUGGAGGAGCGAAAGCGUGGGGAGCGAACAGGA